ACGCUCGACACCUACGGGAGGCAGCAGUGGGGAAUAUUGCACAAUGGGGGAAACCCUGAUGCAGCGACGCCGCGUGAAGGAAGAAGUAUUUCGGUAUGUAAACUUCUAUCAGCAGGGAAGAAAAUGACGGUACCUGAGUAAGAAGCACCGGCUAAAUACGUGCUAGCAGCCGCGGUAAUCUGAGCGGGCUGGCAAGGC
rnacentral:rRNA from 1 species